CGGGAAAGAAGCUGGGCACCUUUUCGAGGAGAUGUGCGAAUUAGUGAAACUGUGUAUUUUUGUGCAGCAUUUAAGCAAUCCAGUACAACCUCCAGCUCUACACCUCCUUGCCGUAAGGUUGCCAGUAAAACUGUAUAAAAGGAACCUGAGCCUGAAGGUUUCAGGCGGCACACCUUGGAAAUUCUACACAUGAUCCGGCUGAGGCUUGAUAACCUGAAUGCCCUGAUGGGCACUGUGUUAGAAGCUGUGAACAAGCACAAGGAGGACGACGACAACUUCCCCGUUCAGGAGCCAACUGCAAGCUACAACACCUUCAUGGAAUCUGAGUGCCAACUACAGGCUAGCGAAGCCAUGAGAAAAAAAGCUGGUAAAUUGGUUCGUGGGACUCGGAGGGAAGACUGUAGGGGCCACUACUCGUCGACUGCUGGAAGCUCUAAUGACCCAAAACGUUGUGGUGAAUUUCAGCUGGAAAGGGCAAAAGGGCAAGGCGAAAUUCCAACAACUGCAGUGUGUUGAGCUCAUUUACCAGGCUGUAAAAAGAAACCCCCGUAUCACAACGACACGUCACGACAUUGAAGAGGUAAUCAAGACGUGGCUACGACACGCGGCGGAGAAGCUCAGGAAGCUUGAGGAAUCUGGUCUUGGCAACAUCCCCUAACUUUUUAUGAGCAUCUAUAUCCAUGUAUAGUGUGCAUCUUCUUUAAUUCAUGCUUAUUUUUUUUCUUUU
rnacentral:lncRNA from 1 species